rnacentral:rRNA from 1 species
CCGUUCAAUACUGCGGAGCUCGAGGGCAGAAGAGGGGGGUGGAAUUGCUGGUGUAGUGGUGAAAUGCGUAGAUAUCAGCAGGAACACCUGUGGCGAAAGCGGCCCCCUGGUCUGCUCCUGACACUCAGACGCGGAAGCUAGGGGAGUGAACGGGAUUAGAAACCCCGGUAAUCCUAGCCGUAAACGAUGGAUGCUAGGUGUGGGUGGUAUUGACCCCAUCCGUGCCGAAGCCAACGCGUUAAGCAUCCCGCCUGGGGACUACGGCCGCAAGGUUAAAACUCAAAGGAAUUGACGGGGACCCGCACAAGCAGCGGAGCGUGUGGUUUAAUUCGAUGCUACACGAAGAACCUUACCCAGGUUUGACAUGCAGGUAGUAGUGAAGCGAAAGCGGAACGAUCCUUCGGGAAGCCUGCACAGGUGCUGCAUGGCUGUCGUCAGCUCGUGCCGUGAGGUGUUUGGUUAAGUCCACUAACGAGCGCAACCCCUGUCGUCAGUUACAUGUGUCUGGCGAGACUGCCGGUCUUAAACCGGAGGAAGGUGGGGAUGACGUCAAGUCAGCAUGGCCUUUAUAUCUGGG